GAUGAACGCUAGCUACAGGCUUAACACAUGCAAGUCGAGGGGAAACGGCAUUGAGUGCUUGCACUCUUUGGACGUCGACCGGCGCACGGGUGAGUAACGCGUAUCCAACCUUCCCAUUACUGUGGGAUAACCUGCCGAAAGGCAGACUAAUACCGCAUAGUCUUCGAUGACGGCAUCAGAUUUGAAGUAAAGAUUUAUCGGUAAUGGAUGGGGAUGCGUCUGAUUAGCUUGUUGGCGGGGUAACGGCCCACCAAGGCGACGAUCAGUAGGGGUUCUGAGAGGAAGGUCCCCCACAUUGGAACUGAGACACGGUCCAAACUCCUACGGGAGGCAGCAGUGAGGAAUAUUGGUCAAUGGACGGAAGUCUGAACCAGCCAAGUAGCGUGCAGGAUGACGGCCCUAUGGGUUGUAAACUGCUUUUGUAUGGGGAUAAAGUUAGGGACGUGUCCCUAUUUGCAGGU
rnacentral:rRNA from 1 species